CUCCGGGAAACCGGAGCUAAUACCGGAUAGUUCCUUGAACCGCAUGGUUCAAGGAUGAAAGACGGUUUCGGCUGUCACUUACAGAUGGACCCGCGGCGCAUUAGCUAGUUGGUGAGGUAACGGCUCACCAAGGCGACGAUGCGUAGCCGACCUGAGAGGGUGAUCGGCCACACUGGGACUGAGACACGGCCCAGACUCCUACGGGAGGCAGCAGUAGGGAAUCUUCCGCAAUGGACGAAAGUCUGACGGAGCAACGCCGCGUGAGUGAUGAAGGUUUUCGGAUCGUAAAGCUCUGUUGUUAGGGAAGAACAAGUGCAAGAGUAACUGCUUGCACCUUGACGGUACCUAACCAGAAAGCCACGGCUAACUACGUGCCAGCAGCCGCGGUAAUACGUAGGUGGCAAGCGUUGUCCGGAAUUAUUGGGCGUAAAGGGCUCGCAGGCGGUUUCUUAAGUCUGAUGUGAAAGCCCCCGGCUCAACCGGGGAGGGUCAUUG
rnacentral:rRNA from 1 species